UACGUAGGCAGCGAGCGUUGUUCGGAGUUACUGGGCGUAAAGGGUGUGUAGGCGGUUCUUUAAGUUUGGUGUGAAAUCUCCCGGCUCAACCGGGGGGGUGCGCCGAAUACUGAGGGACUAGAGUAUGGGAUGGGAAAGUGGAAUUCCUGGUGUAGCGGUGAAAUGCGUAGAUAUCAGGAGGAACACCUGUGGUGUAGACGGCUUUCUGGACCAUAACUGACGCUGAAACACGAAAGCGUGGGUAGCAAACAGG
rnacentral:rRNA from 1 species